GAGGGUAUAGCUCAGUGGUAGAGCUUAUGCUUAGCAUGCACGAGGUCCUGGGUUCAAUUCCCAGUACCUCCA
rnacentral:tRNA from 1 species